UGUGGAAUUUUGGACAAUGGGGGCAACCCUGAUCCAGCAAUGCCGCGUGUGUGAAGAAGGCCUUCGGGUUGUAAAGCACUUUUGUCCGGAAAGAAAUCGCGCUGGUUAAUACCUGGCGUGGAUGACGGUACCGGAAGAAUAAGCACCGGCUAACUACGUGCCAGCAGCCGCGGUAAUACGUAGGGUGCGAGCGUUAAUCGGAAUUACUGGGCGUAAAGCGUGCGCAGGCGGUUUUGUAAGACAGGCGUGAAAUCCCCGGGCUUAACUUGGGAAUUGCGCUUGUGACUGCAAGGCUAGAGUGCGUCAGAGGGGGGUAGAAUUCCACGUGUAGCAGUGAAAUGCGUAGAGAUGUGGAGGAAUACCGAUGGCGAAGGCAGCCCCCUGGGACGUGACUGACGCUCAUGCACGAAAGCGUGGGGAGCAAACAGGAUUAGAUACCCUGGUAGUCCACGCCCUAAACGAUGUCAACUAGUUGUUGGGGAUUCAUUUUCUCAGUAACGUAGCUAACGCGUGAAGUUGACCGCCUGGGGAGUACGGUCGCAAGAUUA
rnacentral:rRNA from 1 species